GGAAGGUGGGGACGACGUCAAGUCAUCAUGCCCCUUAUGACCUGGGCUACACACGUGCUACAAUGGACGGUACAACGAGUCGCAAGACCGCGAGGUUUAGCUAAUCUCUUAAAGCCGUUCUCAGUUCGGAUUGUAGGCUGCAACUCGCCUACAUGAAGUCGGAAUCGCUAGUAAUCGCGAAUCAGCAUGUCGCGGUGAAUACGUUCCCGGGCCUUGUACACACCGCCCGUCACACCAUGAGAGUUUGUAACACCCAAAGCCGGUGGGGUAACCGCAAGGAGCCAGCCGUCUAAGGUGGGACAGAUGAUUGGGGUGAAGUCGUAACAAGGUAGCCGUAGGAGAACCUGCGGCUGGAUCACCUCCUUUCUAAGGAA
rnacentral:rRNA from 2 species